rnacentral:tRNA from 1 species
CCAUAGAAGGAGGGCCACACCCUCCCUAAGACU